rnacentral:rRNA from 1 species
AGGGCACCACCAGGAGUGGAGCCUGCGGCUUAAUUUGACUCAACACGGGAAAACUCACCCGGCCCGGACACUGGAAGGAUUGACAGAUUGAGAGCUCUCUCUUGAUUCAGUGGGUGGUGGUGCAUGGCCGUUCUUAGUUGGUGGAGCGAUUUGUCUGGUUAAUUCCGAUAACGAACGAGACUCUAGCCUACUAAAUAGAUCGUCGGCUUACAAACGCUGAUGAGACUUCUUAGAGGGACAGGAGGCGAUUCAGCCGCACGAAACAGAGCAAUAACAGGUCUGUGAUGCCCUUAGAUGUCCGGGGCCGCACGCGCGCUACACUGAAGUGAUCAGCGUGCAUUUUCAGCCUACUCUGCCAAGAGUGGGAAACCCAAUGAACCUUCUUCGUGAUUGGGAUAGGAGAUUGUAAUUAUUCUCCUUGAACGAGGAAUUCCCAGUAAGCGCGAGUCAUAAGCUCGCGUUGAUUACGUCCCUGCCCUUUGUACACACCGCCCGUCGCUACUACCGAUUGAAUGUUUU